rnacentral:rRNA from 1 species
GACGAACCGAGCGAACGUUGUUCGGAAUCACUGGGCUUAAAGGGCGCGUAGGCGGGUUGCCAAGUCUGUGGUGAAAUCCUCCGGCUUAACCGGAGAACUGCCGUGGAUACUGGCGAUCUCGAGGGAGGUAGGGGUGUGUGGAACUGUGCGUGGAGCGGUGAAAUGCGUUGAUAUGCACAGGAACUCCGGUGGCGAAGGCGACACACUGGACCUCUUCUGACGCUGAGGCGCGAAAGCUAGGGGAGCGAACGGG